GGGAAGGUUGAUAAUCACUAGGGUAUUGUGGGGGUGGCUCACGUCAUAGGGUAGAGAAGGUUUCCUUCUCUAAUUAAAUUUCUUUGUUUCUCAGAUAUACAUCAGUAGUGGAGUUUUCUUGUAAUCAACGCUCAUUCUGAGUUUUCAACAUCAAUUCUUUAAAAUACUAUAAACUCGCACUAGAGCUCUUGAUUCAGGGCAUUAUUGUU
rnacentral:lncRNA from 1 species